UACGUAGGUGGCAAGCGUUGUCCGGAUUUACUGGGCGUAAAGAGCGCGCAGGCGGUCGUUCAAGUCGCGUGUGAAAGCCCCCGGCUCAACUGGGAGGGUCACGCGAUACUGAUCGACUCGAAGGCAGGAGAGGGUAGUGGAAUUCCCGGUGUAGUGGUGAAAUGCGUAGAUAUCGGGAGGAACACCAGUGGCGAAGGCGACUACCUGGCCUGUUUCUUGACGC
rnacentral:rRNA from 1 species